rnacentral:rRNA from 1 species
CACGUAGGGCGCAAGCGUUGUCCGGAAUUAUUGGGCGUAAAGAGCUCGUAGGCGGUCUGUUGCGUCCGCUGUGAAAGCCCGGGGCUCAACCCCGGAAUGGCUUUCGAAACUGCUGAGCUAGAGUACAGAAGGGGCAACCGGAAUUCCCAGUGUAGCGGUGAAAUGCGUAGAUAUUGGGAAGAACACCUGAGGCGAAGGCGGGUUGCUGGGCUGAUACUGACGCUGAGGCGCGAAAGCCAGGGGAGCAAACGGG